rnacentral:lncRNA from 1 species
ACGUGCUCUAUGAUAUUUUCAUUUUCUUUAUAUCUCAUGGAAACAAGAGUCGACAUAAGUGUACAAGCCUCAUCCUUAUCAUUUAUGGCGAAAUGUUGUUCUAGAGAAUGAAAGAAAUCUCUAGCUGUUGUGAUCUCAUCGGACAUAGUACUCGAAAAACCUCUAGAAUUGCCUAUUCUAUAACCAACAUACUCAUAUAGUUUGACCGAUCCCAUCUUUCAAACUCCUUUUCUUCAAGGGUAUUGUGAGGAGUAACCGAAUUGAGUUGAUCAAC